CCUUUGGGUGGGGAAUAACUCAGGGAAACUUGAGCUAAUACCGCAUAAUGCAGCGGCUCGACAUCGAGACAGUUGUUAAAGCGGGGAUUGGAGCAAUCCGACCUCGCGCCUAAAGAGAAGCCUGCGGCAGAUUAGCUAGUUGGUAAGGUAAUGGCUUACCAAGGCUACGAUCUGUAACCGGCCUGAGAGGGCGGUCGGUCACACUGACACUGACAUACGGGUCAG
rnacentral:rRNA from 1 species